UACGUAGGGGGCAAGCGUUGUCCGGAAUCAUUGGGCGUAAAGCGCGUGUAGGCGGCUCGAUAAGUCUGCUGUGAAAGUCCAAGGCUCAACCUUGGGAUGCCGGUGGAUACUGUCGAGCUCGAGUCCGGAAGAGGAGUGUGGAAUUCCGUGGUGUAGCGGUGAAAUGCGCAGAUAUCAGGAGGAACACCAAUGGCGAAGGCAGCACUCUGGGACGUGACUGACGCUGAGACGCGAAAGCGUGGGGAGCAAACAGG
rnacentral:rRNA from 1 species